CCUACGGGAGGCAGCAGUGGGGAAUAUUGCGCAAUGGGCGAAAGCCUGACGCAGCGACGCCGCGUGAGGGAUGAAGGUCUUCGGAUCGUAAACCUCUGUCAGCAGGGAAGAACGGUCACUGUGCUAAUCAGCAGUGAAUUGACGGUACCUGCAAAGGAAGCACCGGCUAACUCCGUGCCAGCAGCCGCGGUAAUACGGAGGGUGCGAGCGUUAAUCGGAAUUACUGGGCGUAAAGCGCUCGUAGGCGGUAUGUCAAGUCAAGGGUGAAAUCCCCGCGCUCAACGUGGGAACUGCCUUUGAAACUGGCAGACUGGAGUGUAGGAGAGGAAAGUGGAAUGCCAGGUGUAGGGGUGAAAUCCGUAGAUAUCUGGAGGAACAUCAGUGGCGAAGGCGACUAUCUGGCACAUAACUGACGCUGAGGAGCGAAAGCGUGGGUAGCAAACAGGAUUAGAUACCCUAGUAGUC
rnacentral:rRNA from 1 species